AUGUACCACGCGGAUACUGCGGUUCUGAGCGCGCCGCCCGCGCCCACCUGACGCCUGCUCGCGAUGGGUUGUUAGCC
rnacentral:sRNA from 18 species